AUGUUAAAAAAAAGAGUUGGCAUAGUGCUUAAGCUUGAUUUCGAGAAAGCGUAUGGCAAAGAUAACUGGGAUUUUCUUCUGGAAUGUCAUAAGUUGCAUGGCUUUAACGAAACCUGGUGCGGUUGGGUCAAACAAAUUCUUUAUAAGGGCACCGUCAACAUUAAGCUCAAUAAUAGUGUGGGCCCCUACUUCCAGAGUGCUAAAGGGGUGCGGCAGGGUGACCCACACUCUCCAUUCCUGUUUAAUCUUGCUGUUGAGUGUCUGACUAAAAUGAUCAAAAAUGCCCAGAAAAAUAAGCUGAUCACGGGAUUAGCUUCCGACCUGAUUCAGGAUGGGGUCGCGGUGUUACAAUAUGCAGAUGAUACUAUCAUCUGUUUAGAA
rnacentral:rRNA from 1 species